AACGCUGGCGGCGUGCCUAAUACAUGCAAGUAGAACGCUGAAGAGAGGAGCUUGCUCUUCUUGGAUGAGUUGCGAACGGGUGAGUAACGCGUAGGUAACCUGCCUUGUAGCGGGGGAUAACUAUUGGAAACGAUAGCUAAUACCGCAUAACAAUGGAUGACACAUGUCAUUUAUUUGAAAGGGGCAAUUGCUCCACUACAAGAUGGACCUGCGUUGUAUUAGCUAGUAGGUGAGGUAAUGGCUCACCUAGGCGACGAUACAUAGCCGACCUGAGAGGGUGAUCGGCCACACUGGGACUGAGACACGGCCCAGACUCCUACGGGAGGCAGCAGUAGGGAAUCUUCGGCAAUGGGGGCAACCCUGACCGAGCAACGCCGCGUGAGUGAAGAAGGUUUUCGGAUCGUAAAGCUCUGUUGUAAGUCAAGAACGGGUGUGAGAGUGGAAAGUUCACACUGUGACGGUAGCUUACCAGAAAGGGACGGCUAACUACGUGCCAGCAGCCGCGGUAAUACGUAGGUCCCGAGCGUUGUCCGGAUUUAUUGGGCGUAAAGCGAGCGCAGGCGGUUUGAUAAGUCUGAAGUUAAAGGCUGUGGCUCAACCAUAGUUCGCUUUGGAAACUGUCAAACUUGAGUGCAGAAGGGGAGAGUGGAAUUCCAUGUGUAGCGGUGAAAUGCGUAGAUAUAUGGAGGAACACCGGUGGCGAAAGCGGCUCUCUGGUCUGUAACUGACGCUGAGGCUCGAAAGCGUGGGGAGCGAACAGGAUUAGAUACCCUGGUAGUCCACGCCGUAAACGAUGAGUGCUAGGUGUUGGAUCCUUUCCGGGAUUCAGUGCCGCAGCUAACGCAUUAAGCACUCCGCCUGGGGAGUACGACCGCAAGGUUGAAACUCAAAGGAAUUGACGGGGGCCCGCACAAGCGGUGGAGCAUGUGGUUUAAUUCGAAGCAACGCGAAGAACCUUACCAGGUCUUGACAUCCCGAUGCUAUUUCUAGAGAUAGAAAGUUACUUCGGUACAUCGGUGACAGGUGGUGCAUGGUUGUCGUCAGCUCGUGUCGUGAGAUGUUGGGUUAAGUCCCGCAACGAGCGCAACCCCUAUUGUUAGUUGCCAUCAUUCAGUUGGGCACUCUAGCGAGACUGCCGGUAAUAAACCGGAGGAAGGUGGGGAUGACGUCAAAUCAUCAUGCCCCUUAUGACCUGGGCUACACACGUGCUACAAUGGUUGGUACAACGAGUUGCGAGUCGGUGACGGCGAGCUAAUCUCUUAAAGCCAAUCUCAGUUCGGAUUGUAGGCUGCAACUCGCCUACAUGAAGUCGGAAUCGCUAGUAAUCGCGGAUCAGCACGCCGCGGUGAAUACGUUCCCGGGCCUUGUAUUACACCGCCCGUCACACCAGGAGAGUUUGUAACACCCGAAGUCGGUGAGGUAACCUUUUGGAGCCAGCCGCCUAAGGUGGGACAGAUGAUUGGGGU
rnacentral:rRNA from 1 species